AAUAAUAUGAAGAUUUGGCUUUGGCCUUAUCGUACUGAAUCUCAUUGAAAGCACUAUUAAUGACGAGGCUGUAUGUUUGCCUUCCCAAUAAUAAAGGGAAAAUCAAAAGUAAAAAAAAAAAAUUACUGUUUAACUUCAUAAUUCAUAUUUCAUUCUCAUUUCCCAAUUCUCAAUAUUUUUUUGAUGAUUUCGGUUUGAAUUUGCACGUUGCCUUGUUCCUACUGGAUUUCAAUAUACUUCGGACGUUUAGCUUAGUUUUAUUGUACUGGCCUUAGUAUUACAUACGCGUUGCAUUAAUCCUGUGUCGUUUAUAAUAAAUAUUAUGAAAAGUAUGCGCAAACCUUAUACAGAUGUCAAGCUUUUAAUAAAAGUGGAGAAAAACCUGUUAGUAGUGCCUUUGAAACACCUAAGUCUGAUAGUGCCUGCUUCCACCCACCCAUACAACAAAGCAGAGAUGACUGGUGUCCAGAUCCCAAGUCACCCACGUCAGUCUGGUCGAUGCACCAUUACCAGGGCUGCACCAUGUAGAGGUUUCCUGAGCAUUCUUUCCUUCUUCUACAUGCCCCAUAUGGGGUCAGCGCAGCACUUUAAUAAUAUAGCAAGUUUUAAUGAUUGUCAUAAACUUUAGGCUGCAUUGGCCAAGGGGCCAUAAAAACCGAUGCCGAUCUUUAUGUAAAAUAUAAUUAUCAUUAGAACUAUUUGAAGACGAAUUAGACUGCAUUUAUGUAUAUUAGUACCUAUAUUUUGUGUUAGCCUUCUUUUAAGAAAAUUUCGCCUUUCGCCACUGUUAGACUGAUAUUAAAUUUGGUGUAAAUCAAAUAAUAUGUCUUUAAAUAUUACAAAACGUCAGUGUUAUAAUGUUUAUUAAUAAUAAAAUAUUUUUUUUCAGUACCGCAUUCAAAAUAAUUAAUAUGUAUAAAUGUUGUGAGGGAUUUGGGCGUUUGGUUGAUUCUAAGCUCAAUUUUGAACUUCAUUAUGAACCAGUUAUGUUGAAAGCCAGAGAAAUGCUGGGUUUCAUAAAUACAGUAACACCAUAUUAUACAACCCUCAAGUCUACUUACUUAAUACAUCCUAAGUGCAAAGUACAUUUGAGUAUGAUAAUUGUAUGGUCCACAUUAAUAAAUUAAAUUCAGUCCAAAAAAGUUUUGUUUAACUUGUUGCUUGAUGCUUAGCUUAAAUAAAUAAUGUUUAAGUUUAAAAAUAAAAUAUAAAUGUAAGUUGUGUUUGAUAUGUGUUGGAAAUUAUACUUAUUCUUAGCUACAGCUUGCAUAAUAUUAAGUUUCUCUUUAUGUGAGUUAUUAUCUUUGAAUAUAUGUAUAGUCUGGCAUAUGUUAACUUAUUUCGUGAACAUCACCACAUAUAUGUUUAAUUGUCUGCAGAAGUCACUUUUAGAUACAAUUACAUACAUGUUGAGUUUUCAUAUCUCGGGCUUACAUUAUAGCUAUAAGUUAUAAUAUUUAAAUUAUUGUAAUUGUAGUGUUAAAUUUGCUGAAAAACCUUAUAACAAAAUAAAGAGUUGAGUGCAAGAUUUGGUUUGAAGCUGAAUUAUCAGAAUAGAAUGAAUUUAAACUAGACACAUUACAGUGGAGGAGAAAACUAAACAAUCUUAUGACAUAAAAUUGUAAAUUCGAAAUUGGAUACCCACAUUGUUAAGUAUCUCAGAGUUGCUAGUGGAUCAAACCUUAGACGACAUUUUGACAAUCCCCAACAAUCAUCUGCAAAAGUUCUAGUUGCAGUAUGAAGCUUUUAGGUUAAGUGAAAAUAUUAGUAUCAAUUACUCAUUUAAAAACUAUUUAUCGUUAUCAAACAAUUUUGUUUUCAAGAAAUUAUUUAGUUUCCUUUUUGAGGUGAGUAAUUUUAUUAAUUACCUUAAACCUUCAUACUGCAACUAGAGCAUUUUGCAGAUGAGAUUUUGUUUUUGGGGACUGUUGAUUUGUUCUCAGUACCUGAAGCUACAAUGAAUGUAGUACAUGAUAGUUACAUUGUAUGUGUAAUUGUGACAAUGAUCACAAGGAGUUAUAUAUCAGCGGGGUAUUUAUCAUUUUAAAAUAAAUAUCAAAAAUUUAAAACUACUUUAUAAUUUCAUUUCCUAUGGAAUUAUAUUUUUUAUAAUUUUUUUUUUUUAUAUUAUUUGAAUGUUGUGCUCAGGUUUUAUCGGUGUACAAAUAAAAAUGUGUUAUUAUGUAUAUUAUAUAUUAGAUAUUAGUAUCUUUGUACAUGGUAACUGUGCCUAAUAAAAUAAAACAUUUUGAUCCCCGAUAUAGAAAUGAUUUGUUCUUAGGACUUAAUAAAGGAAAUAUUGAUAUAAAAA
rnacentral:lncRNA from 1 species